rnacentral:lncRNA from 1 species
AAUUCAAAACCAAAUACCAUAGGUUCUAAGAUAAGUUUAAGUGUGAAUACACAACCAGAGCACAAGGUCUAAGUGCAGUCAAACAUAAGAUGUACUAAUUUAACAACACUCGAAGAUAAUCCUACAUGAGUGAUGGUUUGUCAGAACUUCAGCAGGAAACCUCGAGAUCCACCAACAACGCUACCUAAAACCUGGAGGGGCGCAAAACAAAGUUGAGUGGGUCAGUAAAACAAACUUUUCAAAACUUUCUUUUCUCUUUGAAUAUACUAACCCCUCGCCGUAAAACAAGUAUAAUUUCCCAGAAAUGAAGUAUAUACUCAUAUACGUAAUAUAUCUCAAAAUCAUGCUAGACAAUAUGAAUGUACGCCAUGUCAAAGUAUCAUAAUUGAAUACUCAUCAUCUCUAUGUGAAUAUGAUGGAAUAACAUAUAAUCAAUUCAACCAUCGGCCAUAAAUAUAGUUUAUGUUCUUUCAUCAUAAUCAACUCAGCCCUCGGCUGCAUAUAUAGCUCAUAAUCAUCUCAUCACAUCAUGUAUAUAUAUGUAAAUCCUGCACACAAUCAAUACCACCUCACGUGGUCUGCAAUUCAUCACUGUAUAUAACAUAAUAUGCUAUAGUGCUACAAUCACGUGAAGACUGUGUGAUAAAUCGCGAGUCACCUACGAGUCGAACCCACUAAAAGUGGUCUAUACGACAUGACUGUGCACCUAACUUGGAUCCAAGGCGAGCAUGCGGUGCGGGAGGUGAACAUCACGUGAAAGACUGUGCCCCUAACUCUGGGCAGGAGCACUAAUAUACGUGUGCAAGUGAAUGAGCUCUCAAUCAUAACCAACAUCGUAUCUCAAUCGUAUCUUAAUCAUAACCACAUCGUAUCUCAAUCGUAUCUCAAUCAUAACCAACAUCGUAUCUCAAUCAUAACCAACAUCGUAUCUCAUCAUCGUUACCAGCAUAAUAUACUCACAUAUAGCUUACCUGGGCCUCCUCAGCACCAUGCAACAAUAUGCAUAAUUAUAAUAAUGCACAUACUAAAAUAUGAUGCAUGUAUGACAGGAUACUUAAAUCACAUUUCCUUAAAAUACGUUUUUUGGGAAAAACGUCAAGCAUAUAUAUAUACUGAAAAAUAACUGCCCACUCACUGAUAUGUCUCCGGUUCGUAACCCCCACGCCUAGUCUGGUUACUCUCGUCCUCCGUAUAGGUCUCGCCUAUAAGAGAAAUAAUUAUAAAAACGUUAUUUAAAAGCACAUACACAACAUUCGCUAAUAACUUCUCAUAUAUUGCUCAAUUUGGGUAUAUGAAUAUACCACCGUGACCUACUCGACGUCACGAACCCGUACAAAUAUUUAAAACAAUUUUUGGACCCCCCACUCACCCUCACGCGCCGGGAAAAGGUCGGCUCCACACGCGGUUACGCGCAGGCGCGUGUCGUCUUUAACCUUGGGUCACCGGACUGGUUUCGCCAGCGACGGAAAAGUCGCCGGUUUCUGGGCUAGUUUUCAAAUCGUCAUAACUUCGUCAUUUCUUCACCAUUUUUCGUGAUUUUUGUACCAAAAUGAAGCAUAAGACAUGUAGAAUCAUGAUAUACAAGUUUCUAGGCUUGAAAACCACUAUAAUUUACCUGAGUAAGCUCGAUAGUUCGGUAAACUUUGACAAGCUUCGAUCUCCGUACUCUGACGUCCAAAACCUUCCAACAAACUACCCCGAGCCUCCUAAGGACCUCAAGAAGCUUCCUAUGAGCUUAAAAACUCCUAAAAAUCAACCAUUACAAAGUUUAUGAAUAGUGUCAAACUCGGAGGUGAGUGGUUCGACGUGAAAACUUUGAAGUUCUUACCUGAAAUGGGUAUGGAUAAACUCGUAUCGACAAGAUGAAGACGAUGGUGGUCUUUGUUUCCUCAAUCUGUAAGGAUUUGAUGAACUUUGGUGAUGAUCCGUGUGUAGAGAGAGAGAAUGAGUGAAUUCGAAGGGAAGAGAGAUAGUGUGAGUUUGAGUGUUUGAGGGAAUUACAGGAAAAAGGAAGAAAAGGUGUUCUGAAAGAGUGUGUAUGCUUGUCCCGUGAGUGUAUGUGGUCCACAAGCCACAAUCAUUCAAACACAAUCAAACAAAACGUCCAUGAUCAUCCACUCUUUAAAACUAGGGUAAUUUAAACAAACCCUAAAGUUCUAAAUCUUUAAAAUGUUCAAGGACAUUUUAUUAACUUCAUACUCACGAAAACGAUAAUACGGGACGGGCUGUCACAUAAACAUGUUUAGGCGCCCGCUUAAACCUCCUAGGCGUCCGCCUAAUCCACCUAGAUCACGACUUUUACUUUAACAAAAAAUAGAUAACUUUCAUUUUUGUAUUAUAUUUUUGUAGACAUCGAAAUUUCGGUGAAAUAAAUGUUCACCAAUACAUUAAAAUUUUGACAUGCCAAGGCAUACGUGGUAUACACCAUGUGUACACAACUUGUACACAUGGAUGUGACUCAUCAAAAUCGGACGAGUUAUCAAGAAGGACAUGUGUCAACACUUGGUGGAAAUGAAUUAUUUGAUUUUAAUUUAAUUUAAUCAAAGGUUGAUUGAUGGAGUCAAAUUACGAACCGGGUCACAAAUCGAGUCUUGGUUCUUUCGUCAAUUAAUCAAGCCCACAAUCAAGGUCAAAUCCAUAUGUAGGCAAGAUUUAGAAAGUCUAUAAAUACGAGGUUCCAAGAUAAAGAAAUGAUCCAAAAAUCAUUUCACGCCUAGAUGCUGAAUCUUUGAAACUCUAAACCUCUCAAGCACUCAAACUCCCCAAACUCUCAAACACUCAAGAAGAUUCGGAAAUCUAUAAAUACGGGUUUAAUUGCUCAUCGUAAUUAGAAUGAGUAUUAAGAUUUACUUAAAUAAUUAAAAUUUUGUGGCAUAAGUUGUAAAUAUAUUAUAAUAAUUGGUUAUAUAUUUGUCUACAUGGUAGUCUAUUAUUUGAAAUUUGAGUUUUAUUUGAAUGUGUAAAAUUUAACGGGUUUUUUGUUUGGAAAUUAGGAGUUCAAAGGCCUAUUUCUAAACAACCCUAGUUCUAAUUCUCAAUUACAUUCACAACUAUAUCAAAGUUACAUGCUUUCUAAUACAAACACAAAUUGGAUACGUAUUACGUACUCACUAGUGAGGUCUAGACUAGGCUUGGUAUUUUGGACCCAA